UAGGGGUAAACUGAAAAACCGAAAGGUCGAAGGGAGAAAUUCAUUCGCGUUUCGACAUUGGCACCGGAUGGGGUAGUGUGACGUAAGGAACGCUCGCGUUCUUUGCGCUCCCCUCACCCGGGGAUCCAGCGACGAACGCGUGCACUUUUCUCCUGGUAGGACGUCGCGAUCCGUUGGGUGUCGGUCUACGGCUCGCGGUGGAGCCCGUUUGGAAUUUUUAUUUCGAAUGGACCCGCGUAGAUCCUGGCCGACUCGCUCGACGGUAUACGAAAGGUUUGGAGCCGCUCUUUGGAGCGUCCGACUCGCGGCAAGCGCACCAGAUGUGUCGGCGAUCGGACCUAGUGCCGGUUCUGGCCCCUGGUGUCCGUUGGCCGUGAUGUUCUCGGACAGACUCUCUAUUUAAAAACCGAUCUGCGACGCUAUAGCUUUGGGUACUUUCAGGACCCGUCUUGAAACACGGACCAAGGAGUCUAGCAUGUACGCGAGUCAUUGGGAUUUUCAUUAAACCUAAAGGCGCAAUGAAAGUGAAGGUCUCCCUUAUGCGGAGACCGAGGGAAGACGGGCGGUUUAACACCCUUAAAAGUGGCCGCUCCGCAUUCCCGGGGCGUCUCGUUCUCAUUGCGAGAAGAGGCGCACCAAGAGCGUACACGCUGGGACCCGAAAGAUGGUGAACUAUGCCUGGUCAGGACGAAGUCAGGGGAAACCCUGAUGGAGGUCCGUAGCGAUUCUGACGUGCAAAUCGAUCGUCGGAACUGGGUAUAGGGGCGAAAGACUAAUCGAACCAU
rnacentral:rRNA from 1 species